UCUAAAGAACACUGUGUCUCUGGGCCUCAAGAUCGUUUAAACCAUGAAGACGCAGCAUAUAAGAAAAGACAAAUGGCCUCUUGUUGCAGGAACAGAUGUGAGGGAUGCCUGGAGAUUUUAAAGCAGGACUUUAUCGCCCUCUACUGGCCCCACAGCCACAGAACCAGCUGUACAGAGUCAGCUGACCCGUCCUGGAAGUUACAGGCCUUUGCUGUACAGACAAAGGUUCCUGUUGUCAUGUGUGCUCUCUGAAACAUCAGCACUGACCUUCAGGUGAUGUAAACAUUGUAACAUAAUACAUGUCUCAGUUUUUCAACCAACGCUGCCAAUGACCAGUUUGAAGUGGAACCAGCAGAGCUUCAUCAGAACACAUCAAGAGUCAGAAUCUGUUGUUCUCUGUCCUCAUUCAAGUAUCUGCGCAGACAAUAACGUUCCAUCAUAUCCUGUCUUAAACUCAUCAGGAGUAGGAGUACAACCAUUAUUAGACCUGGAUGAUUACCUGGUAUUAACCUGGGAUUAAAGAUGUGUAAAUGUGGCUCCGAUGUAACAUCCUCUCACACAACAAUAUCUGACUGGUAACGUGUCAAAAUAUACAUCAUCUAUAAACACUAAUCAUCUUAAUCUGCAAAGUAACUUGUAACUAAAUGUAUCAAAUAAAGUAUUGUAAAUGGAAACACUCAAGAAAAGUAAUUGUACUUAAUGACAGUA